UGAUAUGAUCUAAGACUUUAAGAUUCGACUGAUGCAUGGUACGUUCAAGUUGCAAACCCCCUCUUAUAUGUGCAUCUAUUCAUCGGAUCUUAAUGUCUUAUAUGUGUAUCACCUAUUCGGGUGUAAUAGUACUCAUGCAUGGAUCACAAUAUAUAAACACACAUCUAUCUGGAUCUAAGAUUUUUAAAUCACAACAAAACAUGUCUAUAUGCAUGGAUAUGAUCUCAUAUUCGGAGAUCACAAUUAAGACACAUCUAUUUGGGUCUCAUUCUCGCGGAUCACACUGAACCCUAGGGCUUAAAUAGUGUGCAUCGGC
rnacentral:lncRNA from 1 species